AAGAGAGUUAAACAGUACGUGAAAUUGCUGAAAGGGAAACGCUUGAUGUCAGUCGCGUCGGCCGGGGAUCAACCUUGCKUCUCGCUGGGUGUAUUUCCUGGUCGACGGGUCAGCAUCAGUUUCGGUCACCGUACAAGGGYGAGGGGAACGUGGCACUCUUCGGAGUGUGUUAUAGCCUUUCGUCGUAUGCGGUGGUGGGGACUGAGGAACUCAGCACGGCCCUAGGC
rnacentral:rRNA from 1 species